rnacentral:rRNA from 1 species
UCAAGCUACAAAGGGCGCAUGGUGAAUUGCCUUGGCAUCAGGAGCCGAUGAAGGACGUGAUAAGCUGCGAUAAAGCUUCGGGUAGGCGCACAUAGCCUGAGAUCCGAAGAUCUCCGAAUGAGGAAACUCACAUGGGAAACCCCAUGUAUCAUUAAGUGAAUACAUAGCUUAAUGAAGGUAACCCAGGGAACUGAAACAUCUAAGUACCUGGAGGAAGAGAAAGAAAAAUCGAUUUUCUUAGUAGCGGCGAGCGAAAGGGAAAGAGCCCAAACCGGAAACUUGUUUCCGGGGUUGUGGACAUAACAUAAAGUGGAGGUAUUGUAACUGAAGAGAACUGGAAAGUUCCACCGUAGAAGGUAAUAGUCCUGUAAGUGAAACGAGAAGACCACGAGUUAUGAUCCAGAGUACCACGAGACACGUGAAACCUUGUGGGAAGCAGGGAGGACCACCUCCCAAGGCUAAAUACUACCUGAUGACCGAUAGUGAAGCAGUACCGUGAGGGAAGGUGAAAAGAACCCCGGGAGGGGAGUGAAAUAGAACCUGAAACCGUGUGCCUACAACCGCUCAGAGCCCCUUAUGAGGGUGAUGAGGUGCUUUUUGUAGAACGAGCCAACGAGUUACGGUAUGUAGCAAGGUUAAGUACUUAAGGUACGGAGCCGAAGGGAAACCGAGUCUGAAUAGGGCGACUAGUUGCAUGCCGUAGACCCGAAAACCGGGUGACCUAUCCAUGGCCAGGUUGAAGCGAGGGUAAAACCUCGUGGAGGACCGAACCACGUUGCUGUUGAAAAAGCAUGGGAUGAGCUGUGGAUAGCGGAGAAAUUCCAAUCGAACCCGGAGAUAGCUGGUUCUCUCCGAAAUAGCUUUAGGGCUAGCGUCGAGUAUGAGUAGUGGAGGUAGAGCACUGAAUGGGCUAGGGGGCAUAGCGCUUACCGAACCUUAUCAAACUCCGAAUGCCACAUACUUUGAGCUCGGCAGUCAGACUACGAAUGAUAAGAUCCGUGGUCAAAAGGGAAACAGCCCAGAUCGUCAGCUAAGGUCCCAAAGUGUAAGUUAAGUGGGAAAGGAUGUGAGAUUUCUAAGACAACUAGGAUGUUGGCUUAGAAGCAGCCAUUCAUUAAAAGAGUGCGUAAUAGCUCACUAGUCGAGAGAUCUUGCGCCCGAAAAUGUAACGGGGCUAAACUUACCACCGAAGCUACGGGCUUGAACUUAGUUCAAGCGGUAGGAGAGCGUCGUAACCGGGCUGAAGUCGUACCGUAAGGAGCGGUGGACUGGUUACGAGUGAGAAUGUUGGCAUCAGUAGCGAGAUGUGGGUGAGAAUCCCACAGGCCGAAAACCUAAGGUUUCCUCAGGAAGGUUCGUCCGCUGAGGGUUAGUCGGGACCUAAGCCGAGGCCGAAAGGCGUAGGUGAUGGACAACUGGUUGAUAUUCCAGUACCACUACCAUCGUUAUUAUCGAUGGCGUGACGCAGGAGGAUAGUGUGUGCUAGCUAUUGGAUGCUAGUCUAAGCGUUUAGGCAGUGAGAGUAGGCAAAUCCGCUCUCAUAAUGCUGAGGCGUGAUGGGGAAGGUUCUACGGAACCGAAGUACAUGAUUCCACGCUGCCAAGAAAAGCGUCUAGAGAGAGAAGUAGUGCCCGUACCGGCAAACCGACACAGGUAGGUGAGGAGAGAAUCCUAAGGCCGGCGGAAGAAUUACAGUUAAGGAACUCGGCAAAUUGACCCCGUAAGUUCGCGGAGAAGGGGUGCCUACGAGAGUAGGCCGCAGAGAAUAGGCCCAAGCAACUGUUUAGCAAAAACACAGGUCUCUGCUAAAGCGUAAGCUGAUGUAUAGGGGCUGACGCCUGCCCGGUGCUGGAAGGUUAAGGGGAACACUUAGCGCAAGCGAAGGUGUGAACUUAAGCCCCAGUAAACGGCGGCCGUAACUAUAACGGUCCUAAGGUAGCGAAAUUCCUUGUCAGGUAAGUUCUGACCCGCACGAAUGGCGUAAUGACUUGGGCACUGUCUCAACUGUAAAUCCGGCGAAGUUGUAGUGCGAGUGAAGAUGCUCGCUACCCGCGAUUGGACGGAAAGACCCCGUAGAGCUUUACUGUAGCUUAGCAUUGAGUUUUUGGUAUUGUCUGUACAGGAUAGGUGGGAGACUAGGAAACCAGGGCGUCAGCCUUGGUGGAGUCAACCUUGGGAUACCACCCUGACAGUACUGAAAUUCUAACUGGCGGCCAUGAAUCUGGUCACAGGACAUUGUUAGGUGGGCAGUUUGACUGGGGCGGUCGCCUCCUAAAAAGUAACGGAGGCGCCCAAAGGUUCCCUCAGAACGGUCGGAAAUCGUUCGAAGAGUGCAAAGGCAGAAGGGAGCCUGACUGCGACACCCACAAGUGGAGCAGGGACGAAAGUCGGGCUUAGUGAUCCGGUGGUACCUCGUGGGAGGGCCAUCGCUCAACGGAUAAAAGCUACCUCGGGGAUAACAGGCUGAUCUCCCCCAAGAGUCCACAUCGACGGGGAGGUUUGGCACCUCGAUGUCGGCUCGUCGCAUCCUGGGGCUGAAGUAGGUCCCAAGGGUUGGGCUGUUCGCCCAUUAAAGCGGCACGCGAGCUGGGUUCAGAACGUCGUGAGACAGUUCGGUCCCUAUCCGUCGCGGGCGUAGGAAAUUUGAGAGGAGCUGUCCUUAGUACGAGAGGACCGGGAUGGACUGACCUCUGGUGUACCAGUUGUUCCGCCAGGAGCACAGCUGGGUAGCUAAGUCGGGAAUGGAUAAACGCUGAAAGCAUCUAAGCGUGAAGCCAACCUCAAGAUGAGAUUUCCCAUAGCGUAAGCUAGUAAGAUCCCUUGAAGAACACAAGGUUGAUAGGUCGGGGGUGUAAGCAUGGUAACAUGUUCAGCUGAUCGAUACUAAUAGAUCGAGGGCUUGACCAA